UACGUAGGGGGCAAGCGUUGUCCGGAAUCAUUGGGCGUAAAGAGCGUGUAGGCGGCCCGAUAAGUCCGCUGUGAAAGUCCAGGGCUCAACCCUGGAAUGCCGGUGGAUACUGUCGGGCUCGAGUUCGGAAGAGGAGAGUGGAAUUCCUGGUGUAGCGGUGAAAUGCGCAGAUAUCAGGAAGAACACCCGUGGCUAAGGCGGCUCUCUAGUACGGUACUGACGCUGAGACGCGAAAGCGUGGGGGAGCGAACAGG
rnacentral:rRNA from 1 species